rnacentral:rRNA from 1 species
UUAGUUGGGCGCGCCUUAAAGACCUCGGCGAGGCCACUCCGGCUUUAGGCGUAGUAGAAUUUAUUCGAACGUCUGUCAAAGGAGAGGAACUCUGCCGAUUGAAACCUUUAUUUUUCCAGGUUGACCUCGGAUCAGGUAGGGAUACCCGCUGAACUUAAGCAUAUCAAUAAGCGGAGGAAAAGAAACCAACAGGGAUUGCCCUAGUAACGGCGAGUGAAGCGGCAACAGCUCAAAUUUGAAAGCUAGCCUUCGGGUUCGCAUUGUAAUUUGUAGAGGAUGCUUUGGGUAAAACGCCAGUCUAAGUUCCUUGGAACAGGACGUCAUAGAGGGUGAGAAUCCCGUAUGUGACUGGAAAUGUUAACCUAUGUAAAGCUCCUUCGACGAGUCGAGUUGUUUGGGAAUGCAGCUCUAAAUGGGAGGUAAAUUUCUUCUAAAGCUAAAUAUUGGCGAGAGACCGAUAGCGCACAAGUAGAGUGAUCGAAAGAUGAAAAGCACUUUGGAAAGAGAGUUAAAAAGCACGUGAAAUUGUUGAAAGGGAAGCGCUUGCAAUCAGACUUGUUUAAACUGUUCGGCCGGUCUUCUGACCGGUUUACUCAGUUUGGACAGGCCAGCAUCAGUUUCGGCGGCCGGAUAAAGGCUCUGGGAAUGUGGCCUCCACUUCGGUGGAGGUGUUAUAGCCCAGUGUGUAAUACGGCCAGCCGGGACUGAG